rnacentral:rRNA from 1 species
CAUAGCCUACGGGGGGCAGCAGUGGGGAAUAUUGCACAAUGGGGGAAACCCUGAUGCAGCGACGCCGCGUGAGGGAAGAAGUAUUUCGGUAUGUAAAGCUCUAUCAGCAGGGAAGAAAAAAGGCGGUACCUGACUAAGAAGCCCCGGCUAACUACGUGCCAGCAGCCGCGGCAAUACGUAGGGGGCAGGCGUUAUCCGGAUUUACUGGGUGUAAAGGGAGCGUAGAGGGCGCG